AAAGUGAUGCGCAUGUGCACGACUUCCCAGGCGGCCACCGCGGGCCCCUGAGCGAGCUCCAUUGUUGCCCCGGGAGGCUCCCUCCAAGUAAUGCAGGGGAAGAGUCUGUGUAACACAGAGCGGUGACACGCAGGGCAACGUAAGAUGCUCCUCGAGAAGACAGUGGUCAGCCCUUAGGACAAGUUUAUAACAUCGGGAUAUCCCUGAAAUAAUACACCAAUUGCGAAUCCGAGAAACCACCAAGGAGCCGACACCGAUGCAAGUGCACGAGGGUUUAUUUGCAAGCUCGAGCUUGGGCCCAAGUAUGCCCGACACAGCGGAGUGGGUCCUUGGACCCCGAGAUGAGGACCCCAUCCUCCAGGUGGGGGAAAGGGACGUCUCCUCAAGACCCCCAGUCGACGGCCCGCCAGCGCGUCAGCCUAAGCCAAUGUUGACCUAAUACAGAUUGGAAUUCCUACAGGCAGAGACACAGGCAGAGGGAGAAGCAGGAUCCUGGAGGGGAGCUGGAUGUGAGACUGGAUCUCCGAUCCCUGAUCCUGGGAUCAGGCUCCGAGCCAAAGGCAGACGUUCAACCGCUGAGCCACCUGUCAUCCUAUUCCAUAUGCUUUAAUAAUCGGUUAUGUAACCAGAAACCCACAGACUUGAGGUGAUUAGCUGGCAUUCUGAUUAGAAACUCCACAUUUCUGAGGUGAUUUCUGUUGUGUUUCGGUAAUCUUAAAAUGUGCUCAACACUAGAGACUUUGAUGAUUAGCAUGACAUAAAGAGUUUUUAAUGAUAAAGUUAAUAGCUUCAAAUUACUAUAAAAGAUAUUUAAAAUUGAAUUUCAAUCGUGAAAUUGGUUUUAUUUAUGAGUGGCUUAUUUUGUAUUUUGAUGUAUUUUGAUGUAGUACUUCUCCAAUGAAAUCCAAGUAAAUAUAACCUUUAACUACUUUUAUCACUAGAUCAUUAAAGUAGCUGCUCUUUUUUAUCCAAUUUAAAAAUAUUUUAUAUCAACAAAACUAGGCAUGUUUUUCAAAUCAUUGUUGCCUCUAAAAUGGCUUGUCAAAUUCUAGUCCUGACUCAAGUAGGAAAAAAAACAAAGCAUGCAGUCUAGAUAUGUCAAACAGAAACAAUUCAAUAGAGAAUCUACGAUCAGUACAAAACGUCAAGUGCACUGACACUAGAUACCGUCCCUUCUCAAAACUCCACAAAACUAAAGCAAAGUCUUUUAAAAGACCAAAACCUCAAUGAUAGCAAAAGCAGGGAAGGAGGA